CCUGUCCCUGGAAGUGUCACAGGUACGGCAGCUGUGCCAUGUGUGUCAGUGUGUGGCAGAGAGGAGAGAGGCUAUGUCUGCUCUCAGUGUUCUGGCCUGUGAACAUCUGAAUGAUUAGUAGCCUAACAUU
ensembl:snoRNA